UACGUAGGGCGCAAGCGUUGUCCGGAAUUAUUGGGCGUAAAGAGCUCGUAGGUGGUUUGUUACGUCUGCUGUGAAAACCUAGGGCUUAACCCUGGGCCUGCAGUGGAUACGGGCAGACUAGAGGUAGGUAGGGGAGAUUGGAAUUCCUGGUGUAGCGGUGGAAUGCGCAGAUAUCAGGAGGAACACCAAUGGCGAAGGCAGAUCUCUGGGCCGUAACUGACGCUGAGGAGCGAAAGCAUGGGGAGCGAACAGG
rnacentral:rRNA from 1 species